rnacentral:rRNA from 1 species
CCUACGGGGGGCAGCAGUGGGGAAUAUUGCACAAUGGGCGCAAGCCUGAUGCAGCCAUGCCGCGUGUGUGAAGAAGGCCUUCGGGUUGUAAAGCACUUUCAGCGGGGAGGAAGGCGGUGAGGUUAAUAACCUCAUCGAUUGACGUUACCCGCAGAAGAAGCACCGGCUAACUCCGUGCCAGCAGCCGCGGUAAUACGGAGGGUGAAAGCGUUAAUCGGAAUUACUGGGCGUAAAGCGCACGCAGGCGGUCUGUCAAGUCGGAUGUGAAAUCCCCGGGCUCAACCUGGGAACUGCAUUCGAAACUGGCAGGCUAGAGUCUUGUAGAGGGGGGUAGAAUUCCAGGUGUAGCGGUGAAAUGCGUAGAGAUCUGGAGGAAUACCGGUGGCGAAGGCGGCCCCCUGGACAAAGACUGACGCUCAGGUGCGAAAGCGUGGGGAGCAAACAGGAUUAGAUACCCCGGUAGUC